AGAGCCUACAUAUUCAGCCUCUUGUUUCCACUGAACUGAAUAGCAUCAUGUCUGAAACAAACGGACUAUCUAGCUGUGCUUAUGCACAAAGUCAGACUCUGAAUGGAUAUGGCCUUUCCACAAGAGAAGCAGAGGCUUGACUCUGAGAGGGAGGCUGUGUUGCAGAAGCUGCAAAAGCUGCAACAAAAUUAUUGAAAUCCUGGAACACGCUGACUUCUAGGAACUGGAAUUACAAAGAAAGCCUGGCUGUGGGUGUAGCCAAUUAUGCUUAUUGAGGCUGUUCUGUUUUCUCUCUAUCUUGGUACGUAUGUAGCCCCAGUUACUGUUGUAUCUGAGUCUCUCACAACCAGUAAUAGAAUUCAUGCUCACAGCCCUGUGAGUAGACAGGAAGAACUAUUAUUCUCAUCGUACAGACGAGAAACUGAGACACAGAAGGACAACCUUGGCCAAGUUCACUCAGGAAGUCUCUGGCAGUGGAGGGGAACCAGGACUUCUGAGUCCCAGGACCUGUGGGCCCAAAUGCAGGAGGAAGAGUGGAGAGGCAGAAGCUCUCCUGCACACCCAGUGUUUGGGAACAGCAGCAGAAGCAAGAAACCCUGCCAUAAAGGACACACAGUAUCAGUGACAGAGCUGGGAAUGGAAUUCAGCUGUCCUCUGCCCUAACAAUUGAACAACAGAAAUCUGUAGAUGAGGAAAUCCAUGUCAUACCAUACUUGAAAUGACUAAGAUCUGGGCCUCAAUAAUUAAGGACCUUCUACAUCAGAUGAAAGUUUCUGCUGACAGAGACCAUCUUUUGGAUGCAAAGGAUGAUCAGGAUGAUCCUGGAAGGUCAUUGGAAUCUCAGGAGAAUCAGCAGACAGAAGCAGUCAUUCCACACCUACAAGAUAUAAACAACAUUAUCUAGCCAGGAAGCACAGGUGAGAAGUGAUGGGCAAAAGCAGUUCCAAGAAUACGUAAAAGAGGUCAUUCAGAUGAUGUUCCUAUUUCCCUUUCCUUCUAAAAGUGCCUAACUCAUUCAUCUUAUGCAGAGAUAGUUCCCCUCUGGAAAGACUGUAAAUGUAUAAAUUAUGUAGCAGACCUGGCAGAAUAAGUAUUUUUGUAUAAUGCUGUGGAAGAUCUGCAGCAUAAGUAUCUUCAGUGUAAGUCUUAUUUGCAUGUUUAUCCAGUGGCCUUUGGGAUUUGUGUAACCCACACAGAGUUCUGGGAGGACCAUAGACUGAUUAGUGUUUAUGGGAGGCAGUAUUGUCCAGGCUGCUGCUGAUGUACUGGUUGACUUUCCUUAAAGUUGCAAGUAUUUUCUCUUCAGGUUCCUGUGCAGUGGUAUCCCAAUACCUUUUUGUGUCAUCUGAGCAAAGUCUGAUACGAGAAAAUAUUGAAAUGAUGUACCCUAUAGCAACGGUGUGCCUUAUGUACAGUGUCUGUAUUUAUUAAUAAUGUAAUCUAAAAUGCUGGGUCUAAUUUUGUUACUUGUCUCAAGAAAGAAACAGUGCAUAUGAGACUGAAAAAGUAUAGAAAAGGGUAGCAAAGUUAGAGGUACGAUGGGACUUGGGUUUAAUGAGAAAAUGUUUUAAAAAACCCCCAGAAUUAUUUACUCUGGAAAGGAGAAGAUUUAGUGAGGACUUGAUUGAUUUUGAUGGGUAUAGUAUAAACAGAUCAAUCUGUUCUUUUCACCCUGCUGCAUAAUACAAGUACAUAGGGAUGCUUGUCUAAAUUAAAGGGCAGUAAAUUUGAAAGCAAAAGGGAAAUAUCCCCCCCCAUAUAGUAAGCCUGUGAUAUGCACCGUUGCAAGAGGUCAUUCAGACAGAUUGUGUGGCUAGAUUUAAAUGAACCUGUGCUGCAUGAAAAAGGAGCAGAGAAUAUUUUCUACAAGGCAGCAAUGGAGUUCUUUACCUAGCUCUCCUCUUUAGCUGGUUAGAGAGUAAAUUGAUAAGCUCUUAAAAACAAUGAUUGCAUUUUUUUUUACAGUCCACAGUGUCUAAAGUCUGGUAGUUUAAACAAGGAGUCCCAAUGUGUCUCAUGAUGGGGAGAUCAGACUUAAUGAAAGUGGCCUCCACCCUAUUGUUACAACUAGAUUUCAAAUGAAUAUUGGCUCUUCUUGCCAGCUGGAAGUAUUAGAGAUGUCUCAAUACUCAUCCCUUGCUUAUAUACCCAGUGUAAGUAAUGUAAUUCUAAUUGUACCAUAUAUAAAUUGACACAAGAUUACUGAAAGUAAUUGUGUGAGUUACUAUGUGUGUAUGUACAACAUAUUUAUGGGUAUGUUAUGUUUACAUUCUCAAUGUAUAAUCUACUUUUCCUGUUCUACUAUGGAAAUUUUCUGUACCAUCUGCUCAUCAACAGUUGCUAUGUCUUGGUUUAUACCACCAGUUCCCAUAACUGAUUUAAUAGUAUAUUUGUGGCAAUGUAAUUCCUUUCAUUAGUGUUCCUAACAUGCAGUUAAAUAUUUCACAAUGUAUUGCUUUUUUGUGACUGUUAAUUUAUCAUAUGAUGUGCUAAUUAAUGUUAGGCUUGGCUCCAUGUCUGUGAAUCAGGUUCUUCAUUUAUAACUAGCAGAAACAAUGUUGUUUAUCCAU